GACGAACGCUGGCGGCGUGCUUAACACAUGCAAGUCGAACGGUGAAGCGCUUUCCUUUUUGGUUGGUGUGGAUGAGUGGCGAACGGGUGAGUAACACGUGAGUAACCUGCCCCCUUCUUCUGGAUAACCGCAUGAAAGUGUGGCUAAUACGGGAUAUUCUGCGCCUGCUGCAUGGUGGGUGUGGGAAAGAUUGUGCCUUUGGGUGUUUUCGGUGGGGGAUGGGCUCGCGGCCUAUCAGCUUGUUGGUGGGGUGAUGGCCUACCAAGGCGGUGACGGGUAGCCGGCCUGAGAGGGUGGACGGUCACACUGGGACUGAGACACGGCCCAGACUCCUACGGGAGGCAGCAGUGGGGAAGAUUGCACAAUGGGCGCAAGCCUGAUGCAGCGACGCCGCGUGAGGGAGGGAGGCCUUCGGGUUGUGAACCUCUUUCGCCAGUGAAGCAGGCCUGCUCCUUGUGGGUGGGUUGACGGUAGCUGGAUAAGAAGCGCCGGCUAACUACGUG
rnacentral:rRNA from 1 species